rnacentral:rRNA from 1 species
AUGGAUUCCACGGCAGUGGCGCCGGCUUCCGGUGGAUCCCACGACCACUCCUUCAUCCAGACGGCGGCGGACCAAAAUUCACCACAAAAAACGCAGGAGCGCGGUGGUUCGAGCUCGAGCUCGUCGAGCCUAGGCCGGCCAAGCCCCACCCAUGGGUCACCAGCACGAGGUUUUCAGACACUAGGCCGAUGCUCCUCCGCUGCGCGACCUCCGGCUCACCGCGCUAGCUCCCGCUGGAUCCGUAAGCCGCGGGCCUUCACCGGAGCAGAACGCGACACCGGCGAGGACCCACCCGCCUCCACCGUGUGA